UCAGUUAUUUUUAUUUAUUUCGUUGUUUUUGCCUGCGGGGGUCGCCCUUCUGCUCUCCGCCUCGUUUGUGUUUUCUGGGCUUCCGUAGUCUAUCCCAGCCCUCGUAGCUCCUCUGCCCCCCUUUUCCGUCAGAGCGUUGUUCUGCGCUGCUGUGGAGUCGGAGUGCAGGGAGAAGGAGUUGAGGAGGUUGUUCAUUUGUUUUCCCUUCUUCCCCCAG